CAGUAGUCUAUUACACUGGAUGAAAAAAUAUCAAACUCAAGGCUACAUAGGAACACUGACAUUAAUACCCUUAUGGAAUGGGUCACAACUUGUCUAUGAUUAUAAUCAGAAGCGAGCUGGGUUGGUGUAAGGCCAGUGCCAUCAUUAGGUCUUCCUUCUACCCAUCUUCCACCUACUUUAUAUGCCCGUCCAAGUCACCCCUACUUGCAGCUAACGAAGAGUACCAAUCUUGUAAUUAAAUCACUUCUUUUUUUCAGCAUCAACUUCAAAUGUUGGGUAAACAAGAGCACCUACCUUUACCAAUAAGGUUGCCAGACUCACUAUCUAGUGACAUCUCUAGUCAUCUGCUGUUAAGAUUGAAACUUAGCCUUGCCAUACUGUAAUACCCCAAAUCAUAAAUUAGUGGGUAAUUAUAAUUGAAAAAGGAAAAUAAAUAAAUAAAAGAUUGGAAAAAUGGGCUAAAACCCAUUUUAAAAUGGAAAGGGAAAAGUAAAAGAAAUAGGCCACGCUCCUUAGCCAAAUAUAAAAAUAAAGGUAUAGGUAUAUAGGGCCUUGCCCUUUUGCUGCAUAAGGCAGCAGGCUACCUUUAACGUGCAACGCACAGAAGCAGCGACCAAAUUUUUUCUUUUUUAAAAAUCAGCUAGUUUGAAUUGGCAAAAAAAAUCAAGGAAGAAGAAAAAGUGGGUUUGUUCGGUGAUUGUUAUCGAGUGUAAGGUUUUAUCCAAGAAAGCGAUGCGAAUCGUUCUAGGUGACAAGUUUGGUAUUUCGUCACAUGUACUAGAACGCAGGUGACGGUGAGAAUUUCGUUAGCUAGAAAUCUCAAGGUAGCAUAUUCCUGAGAAUGCAGGUAACGAUGAGGAUUUCAUUAGCUAGAGAUUUCGAGAUAAUAUAUUCCUGAGAUGGAUUUCAUUUUACUAUUUGGUGGUGUUGGUGACUUGUCGAUCGUUUGUGGUGGAUUGUGUUGGUUGUGGUGUUGUUGAAUUGAGACUGGAAAUUUUCUUGAUAUGCCCAAAAAUAGAGGAAACUCUACCCAAUUUUUUUUUGUAUAAUUCUGAUGAGGCUUGCUUUGGAGUCCUAGCCUCCUUAGCGUCGGUCAUGAUCCUUUUUGGGUCAUGCCACAUGCAUUCAUAGAUUGUUGUGGAAGCGUACUAUUAACCACUAUCUGAAUAAAGUUAUUUCAUUUCUUAAAGUUCAA